rnacentral:rRNA from 1 species
UGGGGAAUUUUGGACAAUGGGCGCAAGCCUGAUCCAGCCAUGCCGCGUGCAGGAUGAAGGCCUUCGGGUUGUAAACUGCUUUUGUACGGAACGAAAAGCCCCCUUCUAAUAAAGGGGGGUGAUGACCGUACCGUAAGAAUAAGCACCGGCUAACUACGUGCCAGCAGCCGCGGUAAUACGUAGGGUGCAAGCGUUAAUCGGAAUUACUGGGCGUAAAGCGUGCGCAGGCGGUUAUGUAAGACAGAGGUGAAAUCCCCGGGCUCAACCUGGGAACUGCCUUUGUGACUGCAUAGCUUGAGUGCGGCAGAGGGGGAUGGAAUUCCGCGUGUAGCAGUGAAAUGCGUAGAUAUGCGGAGGAACACCGAUGGCGAAGGCAAUCCCCUGGGCCUGCACUGACGCUCAUGCACGAAAGCGUGGGGAGCAAACAGGAUUAGAUACCCCUGGUAGUCCACGCCCUAAACAAUGUCAACUGAUUGUUGGGAAUUAACUUUCUCAGUAACGAAGCUAACGCGUGAAGUUGACCGCCUGGGGAGUACGGCCGGCAAGGUUA